GCCACAACUGUCAGGAUCCUGUCUCCGAGCACCUGCCUGACAAGUAGUCCCACCAUGAGGGGAACCAAAAACCCAAAACAACCACAACCAAAAGGCCUCUUCCAGCCAUGGGAAGCCAGCCAGCCCUUGCUCUUUUCAGACCCGCUCAGCCAGGGUCUGCAAGGCCAUCUCAGCUAGCUUGGGUACAUCAAGGCCCCCAACCAACCUGUGUUCUGUGAGUGCCUGCUCUAUGCCUAAACUUGCCAAGAGAGAAGAACCAGAGCUGAUCCCUGGCCCUGCCUGACAGCGAUCUGGGCAGCUUACAGGGGGGCAUCUGUGAGGUCCAGUGCCAAGCAGGACUGCAGUAGCUGUAGAAUAAUACAUUUCUUGCAGGGGUUUGGCCUCAAGCAGGGAUUUGGUUCCUCAGCCUGUGGGGCUGCUGCUGCUGUUUCUGCAUCUGAGGCUGUGGCCCAGAGCCUGUAAGACAGGGCAAGCAUUCAAGGAGGAUGACAGAUGUCAAGUGUAGGAAGAAAGACCAAGUGGCCCCCGCGGCUGCACAGGACCCGCAAGGACCAACUGAAACUGCUUUGAUCUCUAGUAGGAGAGGCCAGAGCGGGGGCCACAGCAGGACCCGAAAGUGGCCACCAGCAGUUGCCCCACGCUGACCAGGUGAGCCAGGGGGUCAGGCACACGGCCUGCACGGACCUAUGAGUGGUCAGGCUGCUCCCAUGCUGCAGCCUUCUGCGUCACAACAUGUGUUUCAGGCUGCCUUGGAACUAUUCAGAGAAGACAAUUCUGAGGAAUAACGGCCAGCUCAGCUAAGAUGACCUGACAUAAACCACCCAACAGGUAUCCAGGACGCAACCUAACAGGACCACAGAAAUGGGAGCAAUUUCAAGAGGACAGACAGACUCUGCCCCCUGCCCUGCCAACACCCGCAGCCACGAUUGCCUUUCCUCCUCCUCCCCAUUCUCCUUUUCCGUCUCGCCGCAAGCCCAGAUUUCGUGCUGAGCCCUGCACAUGAAGUGUCUCCCUUAAAUGUCAUAAAGACCCCAUUCUACAGAUGAAGACACCAACGCAUUGAGGGCAUGAACAACAAGCCCAGAGGUACCCUGUCCCUCCACAGAGCUGGAUCCAGACCCAGUCUAGACCUAUUCCAGAGCCCAGCCUCACUGUGUCUGGGGCACGAUGGUCCCUGGCCUGGAGUGAAGAACACGAGAUCCGAACCUUCAGAGUACGCCUCUCUGCCUCAGCCAAGCUCUCUGUUCUGGAACCUCUGCAGGUUAUUUCUAAUUGAGAAGGUGCAGCAAAGCAGUUAGGGACCUGGACUCUCAAAUCCAGUACAGUCACAUGUUCUCAGCCACACGACCUGGGGAAGGCACCCAGCCACUCGCAGGCUGGAAGGAGGUUACAGAGGUCACCGAGGCACAGCCCUCACAGGAGAUGUGGGUGGCAUGGGCACUCAGGAAGUUAGCUGUUAUCAGUCAUUAUUCCUUGACACCCACUCUGCCUGUUUGUUCCCUCAAACUUCUUGCAAGAGAACUAUGAAGAGGUUGGGAUUCUUGCUGAUUUAUGGUCAUUACUGAUGAUGUCACGACUGUCCACUCAGGGCCCAAGGACACCAGGACAAGUUAGCAGCCUGCACAGGAAUCCAGGA
rnacentral:lncRNA from 1 species